rnacentral:piRNA from 1 species
UACAAGAAAUGGUGUUUUAUAUAUUUUAUA